rnacentral:tRNA from 1 species
GCGGCUGUAGCUCAGAUGCCAGAGCACCGGUCUUGUAAGCCGGCCGCCGGAGGUUAAAAUCCUCCCCGCCGCU